rnacentral:rRNA from 1 species
UGACUCUCGGCAACGGAUAUCUCGGCUCUCGCAUCGAUGAAGAACGUAGCGAAAUGCGAUACUUGWUGUGAAUUGYARAAUCCCGUGAACCAUCGAGUCUUUGAACGCAAGUUGCGCCCGAAGCCACUAGGCCGAGGGCACGUCUGCCUGGGUGUCACG